AAUAUUGGACAAUGGGCGAAAGCCUGAUCCAGCCAUGCCGCGCGAGUGAUGAAGGCCUUAGGGUUGUAAAGCUCUUUCAGUAGGGAAGAUAAUGACGGUACCUACAGAAGAAGCCCCGGCUAACUUCGUGCCAGCAGCCGGGGUAAUACGAAGGGGGCUAGCGUUGUUCGGAUUUACUGGGCGGAAAGCGGAAGUAGGCGGAUUGGUCAGUAAGGAGUGAAAUCCCGAAGCGCAACUUCGGAACUGCCUUUAAUACUGCCAGUCGCGAGUCCGGAAGAGGUAAGUGGAACUCCUAGUGUAGAGGUAGAAUUCGUAGAUAUUAGGAAGAACACCAGUGGCGAAGGCGGCUUACUGGUCCGGAACUGACGCUGAGGUGCGAAAGCGUGGGGAGCAAACAG
rnacentral:rRNA from 1 species